CGGAGACCCUUACCAACCCUUGACAUGGAUAUCNCGGCUCUGGAGACAGAGCUUUCAGUUCGGCUGGAUAUCACACAGGUGCUGCAUGGCUGUCGUCAGCUCGUGUCGUGAGAUGUUCGGUUAAGUCCGGGCAACGAGCGCAACCCACAUUUUUAGUUGCCAGCAUUCAGUUGGGCACUCUAGAAAAACUGCCGGUGAUAAGCCGGAGGAAGGUGUGGAUGACGUCAAGUCCUCAUGGCCCUUACGGGUUGGGCUACACACGUGCUACAAUGGUGGUGACAAUGGGUUAAUCCCAAAAAGCCAUCUCAGUUCGGAUUGGGGUCUGCAACUCGACCCCAUGAAGUCGGAAUCGCUAGUAAUCGCGUAACAGCAUGACGCGGUGAAUACGUUCCCGGGCCUUGUACACACCGCCCGUCACACCAUGGGAAUUGGGUCUACCCGAAGGUGGUGCGCCAACCUAGCAAUAGGUGGCACCAACCACGGUAGGCUCAGUGACUGGGGUG
rnacentral:rRNA from 1 species